GAUGAACGCUGGCGGCGUGCCUAACACAUGCAAGUCGAGCGGGAUUCAUGAGGACGAAACUUCGGUCUAGAAAUCUUGAUGAGAGCGGCGGACGGGUGAGUAACGCGUAGGCAACCUGCCCUUAGCACAGGGAUAGCCUCGGGAAACCGGGAUUAAAACCUGAUAAUGCCAAACAGUCACAUGGCUGUUUGGCCAAAGAUUUAUCGGCUAAGGAUGGGCCUGCGUCUGAUUAGUUAGUUGGUGGGGUAACGGCCUACCAAGACGACGAUCAGUAGCCGACCUGAGAGGGUGAUCGGCCACAUUGGAACUGAGACACGGUCCAGACUCCUACGGGAGGCAGCAGUGGGGAAUAUUGCACAAUGGGCGAAAGCCUGAUGCAGCAACGCCGCGUGAGCGAUGAAGGCCUUUGGGUCGUAAAGCUCUGUCCUAGGGGACGAACAAAAUGACGGUACCCUUGGAGGAAGCCCCGGCUAACUACGUGCCAGCCGCCGCGGUAA
rnacentral:rRNA from 1 species